GGGAGAUGUUGGUCCUGAUGGAGGUAAUGGACCACCAGGGGAUCGUGGAGACAAGGGUGAGAAGGGAGACCAGGGCCCACCGGGAAAGCCAGGACCACACGGCCUUGACGGGCAGCCUGGCCGGGAAGGGGAGCCAGGAGAACCAGGCGACCCGGGCGCGAAAGGAGAGCGAGGACCACCCGGAGUAGAGGGCAUCAAAGGAAGAGCUGGACGCUUGGGGCCCCCUGGCCCACCUGGUCCGAAAGGAGGACGAGGAACUCCAGGAAUACAGGGCGCGGAUGGAGGAGUGGGUCCACCCGGCCCAUCCGGACUCAGAGGACUACCGG